rnacentral:misc_RNA from 1 species
UACGGAGGGUGCAAGCGUUAAUCGGAAUUACUGGGCGUAAAGCGCGCGUAGGUGGCUUGAUAAGCCGGUUGUGAAAGCCCCGGGCUCAACCUGGGAACGUCAUCCUGAACUGGCAAGCUAGAGUGCAGAAGAGGAAGGUAGAAUUCACGGUGUAGCGGUGAAAUGCGUAGAUAUCGGGAGGAAUACCAGUGGCGAAGGCGGCCUUCUGGACUGACACUGACACUGAGGUGCGAAAGCGUGGGUAGCAAACAGG